AUACGUAGGGGGCGAGCGUUGUCCGGAAUGAUUGGGCGUAAAGGGCGCGUAGGCGGCCCGGUAAGUCUGGAGUGAAAGUCCUGUUUUUAAGAUGGGAAUUGCUUUGGAUACUGUCGGGCUUGAGUGCAGGAGAGGUAAGUGGAAUUCCCAGUGUAGCGGUGAAAUGCGUAGAGAUUGGGAGGAACACCAGUGGCGAAGGCGUCUUACUGGACUGUAACUGACGCUGAGGCGCGAAAGUGUGGGGAGCAAACAGGAUUAGAUACCCUGGUAGUCCACACUGUAAACGAUGAAUGCUAGGUGUAGGGGGUAUCGACCCCUUCUGUGCCGCAGUCAACACAAUAAGCAUUCCGCCUGGGGAGUACGGCCGCAAGGUUGAAACUCAAAUGAAUUGACGGGG
rnacentral:rRNA from 1 species